GUAUACUUACUAUUAUUAACUUCCAUUCUUUCCUAAAACAGAACCCUGGGGAAAAGCUGCAAUACCCUCCACUUCACAAACAUGCAGGGACUUGUACCGGAGUGUUAAUGAUCCCAAUGAGCCACCAGUGUUGUUCCAGUCUGACUUACCUGGAAGUGUAACUGACUUGUUUGAUGAAGCUCAUCCAUCCUGCAUAGUUAAAAGCAUUGCCAUAGACAAUGAUUCAAUACAAAGCCAAGAGAAACAGGGUGAGUCUUGGUUCGACAAAAUUGGAAUUUCCACACGCAAGUUGGCCUUUCUAAAUUGUUGGAAAGGUGUGAAAGAAGAUGCAACAGAGCUUGAAAGAGACAUUCAUGAACUUCAAAAUACUUGUUUAAAUGAAAGUUGUGGUCCAAAUGAUCUAGCCGAAUGUGAGGAGAAUGAUGGACAGCCUUAUAUACCAUAUCAGCUGGCAAAAAUGUACAUAACCAAGGUAGCCAACGAUAUGCAAAAAAUGAAAAUAAAACACAUGCAAAUCAUUAGUGAAAUAGAUGAUAAUUCAAAGAGGAAUCGGGUAAGG